GCGCGGCCCGGAAUUCUCGGGAAGGUCCGGGCGCCUUCUGGGGCCGCCCGCGCCCUCCGCCCUGCACCCCCACCUGCCGCGGGCGGGCGGAGGGCACGCCCGGGCGUGGGGGCCUUUGAAGUGAGGUGUAGUUGGUCACCCGGGCUGAGCGGAACGCGGGGCCGGGGUGGGAGGCGCGCCUGGAGGGAGGGUCGUGCGUGGACGGAGAGCGGCCCGGGUCUCACGCGCCCGGGAGACUUCCGGAGCCGUCGUCCUGACUGGCGCCGCGCCCGCUGCCAAAGAAUCCAGCCGCAAGCGGCGCCGGGAUCGCGGGGCUCUGCCCUCUGGGGGCUGUUAGCCUCAGGCUGCUGCGCACUGGGGAGGCUGUCCCGCGGCCUGCGCGCUCGGGGAUUCUCCAGACCCACCGCUGGCUCGGGAGCGCUCCCUACUUUUGGGUUCCCCGAAAGCCAUGUGCUUCAUACUUAAGGGUCCCUUAGCUUGGGAAUCGGGGACUUGGUGAACAAAUUCAUGCUUACCCAGCUACACCCGGCAUGAUUUUGAAAAGCCCAUCGUUUUGCCGACCGAUUUGCGGUCUCCAAAUUAAGUAUCUAACACUUUGGUGAUUAACUUGCCCUAAAAGGUUUUUUUUUUUUUUUUUUUCUUUUUUUUUUUUUUGGACAGGCUCUCGCUUUGUCGCCCAGGCUGGGGUGCCGCGGCGGAAUCUCGGCUCACUGCAGCCUCGACCCUCCCGGGCUCAGGUGAUCCUCCCGCCUCAGCUUUCCCAGUAGCUGGGACGAGCGUGGGCAGAGGACCACAGGCGCGGACACCACACCUGUCUAGUUUUUGUAUUUAUUUGUAGAGUCGGGGUUUCACCAUGUUGCCCAGGCUGGAAAAGCCAGUUUCUACAUGGGAAUUUUCGGAUAUUUUGGCCAAGGCCAGCUGUGGGAACCUUGGAGGCAUUGGGGUUCCUUCGACCUGGCUUCCCUGCCUAGUCCAUGUCCUCUUCCUCUUUGUCUCUGGCGCCUCCCAUGAUUGGGCCGCCUCCUGCCUAGACUCAUAGCCAGGCCCUCGGAAUAAUCUGAAAGCUCCUUGCCGUGUAAAGAAACGAUGGAACUACCUCCGCUUCCUGGUCUUUAGGGAAACGCAACUUGCUCAGGAGCAGGGGUUUUCAGACUGCGGCCUGGGACCCCCUUAAGAGCGUGUGAAAUCAACAUAAAGCGUCUUGCCUGGCAUUACAAAGCGGGGGAAGUGGAAGGAAACUAGCAGCCACGUGGCGCGGGCCCCAGCGGUGGUGACCGGGUGUGUGCCUGGUCCUGUGGUAGCUGUUGCGCAGCCUGGGGGCGCGCCCCCGGCCCAGGCUUUCCUACAGCUGCAGCCUGGACUGGCGGGGAGGAAUCCGGAAGCAGGAAGAGCGGUGAGCGGGUCGCUGAAGGGGCGCAAGGUCUUCCCUGGCGACUGCCGCCUUUGCCUGUUUCCUUCCUGUCACCACCAGCCACUGUCCCCGCUCUCCUCACUUGUAGGAACUUUUCCUACCGCAGUUUCUGCCAUUGCCCAGGGGGUUUGAGAUAUAGAGGAGCCAUCCAGGGCCCUAACUCUGACGUUCUUUUUUUUCUUUUCUUUUUUUUUUUUUUUUAGACAAAGUCUCACUCUUGGUCCCCCAGGCUCGAGGGCAAUGGCACAAUCUCUGCUCACUGCAACCUCUACCUCCUGGGUUCAAGCGAUUCUCCUGCCUUAGCCUCCCGAGUAGCUGGGAUUACAGGCACCCACCACUACGCCCGGCUAAUUUUUGUAUUUUUAGUAGAGACGGGGUUUCACCAUGUUGGCCAGGCUGGUCUCGAACCCGUGACCUCAGGUGAUCCGCCCGCCUCGGCCUCCCAAAGUGCUGGGAUUACAGGCGUGAGCCACGGCGCCCGGCCAGCUCUGACAUUCUUUGUCCUUUGUUUUGGGGACCUUCAUUUACCCCCAUUUCUCCAGUGAACCUGCUCCAAAGCCCCUCCCUGGGUCUGGGCAUCACUGGGAACCACUGUUUCCCGUCAGGCCCCAUCUUUAAUGUCCCUUCUUCCUUCCACAACUUCUUGUCUUUCCAGCUCUCCCCCCUCGGUUAAUAAACAGGACAUUUUUGUCCUGUCUCCAGGUGACAUUCCACAGUUACCCACCAGGUGCGAACUCUGUAAUGGUUUCUACCAUCAACACGCCAGCCCCUGGCUGUUCCUUCUCUCUUCUCAGACUCAUGCCCCUCUCCCUGGCACAUCACGGAGCUCUUGGAGGUGGGUCUUUGCCCCCAGGAAAUCUUGUCCAGCACUCUCACUAAUAGAACUUGUGUGCAGAUGACUCACGGAAGAGCCCGGCCAGGACUCAGCUCCAGACCUGGAUGCUGAGCCUCAUGAGCUUCCCCCCUGUCUCCAGCCCUCUUUGAGGGCUCGUUAGCCAGGUCACUGACUAUCCCACCUUAAAGAACCCCAAGCAUCCCCACAACGGAUCUGGCACUGAGUCCUGCCACUUCUGCCUCCUAAGUACCUCUUGAACCCAGCCACUUCCCUCCACCUUCAUCCCCCGCUUCCACACAACCGUCAGCUCACCUGGAAGGCCUCCAUAACCACCUAACUGCUCCCUGCAUAUGGUCUGGUCUGUCUCCAAACUGUAGCCAGGGUGAGCUUUGAGAACACAGACCUGGCCCUAUCUAUUCCCUCCUCCCCACCCUCUGCAAAUUCUAGCUGACUUCCCAUCCUUCUAGGAGGAAGACAGAGCUCUUUAGGCCUGUGAGGCCCUGCAGGUCGCUGCUGCCUCCCCAUACAGCGCCAGUUCCCACUGUGCUCCUAUUUCUGUGUCUGGCGCACUCCCCAUGACUCGCCCCCACGAGGCUGUGCAAAUGCUGUUCCCUCUGCCUGGAACACCAUUCCCUCUGUUCUUCUCUAAUUAAUUUUUAAUGGAUCUUCUGCUCACACAUUUUCUUAGGAACCCCACCUGCCUCCCACCAGGCCAGGUGUCCUGUCAUGGAGAGGUUCUCAGAAUGUGGUGCCCUCUCCUUCAGAGUACAGACCACAUGUGCUCCUCUGCUUCCUCUAGCCCUCCAACCCCAAGUUCUUCCACUCCUGCUUCACCGCCUUUUCUGUCCAGCCUCCUCCUCUUCCUUCCUCAACAACAUAUUUCUUUUUUUUUUUUUGAGACGGAGUCUUGCUCUGUCGCCCAGGCUGGAGUGCAGUGGUGCGAUCUUGGCUUGUUACAAGCUCCGCCUCCCGGGUUCACGCCAUUCUCCUACUUCAGCCUCCCUAGUAGCUGGGACUACAGGCGCCCGCCACCACACCUGGCUAAUUUUUUGUAUUCUUUAAGUAGAGAGGGGGUUUCACCGUGUUAGCCAGGAUGGUCUUGAUCUCUUGACCUUGUGAUCCGCCCGCCUUGGCCUCCCAAAGUGCUGGGAUUAGAGGCGUGAGCCACAGUGCCUGGCCUCAACAACGUAUUUCUAAUAGAUCACCAAGCCUUGCAGAUUUAGCAUCCUAAAUAUUUGUUGACCUCGUCCCACAGUGAUGUUGCUGUUAGGGCAAUCUGACCAUUUUCCUCCUCUAUUUGAAAGCUUUCAGUGUCCCUCAGUAAAGCUGGAGCAUGGAUUCUGGAUCCAGGUGGCCUGGAUUCAGAUCUUAGCUCAGCCACUGCCUGUGUGACCCAGGGCAAGUCACUUACCCUUUCUAUGCAUCCAGUUCAGUAUCUGUAGCAUAGACAUGAACAUGUCUUCUUCAUAGAGUGGUUAUGAAGCUUAAAUGAGCCACUUCUGGUUUUGGAGAUGGCUCAGGUGAUAGCCUACCCCAUAGCAAUUUAUGCCCCCUCACUUGCUUGCCAGGCAGCAGGCUAGCUACUUUGCAUGCAGUUUCUUAGUCCUCUCGACUCUGAAGUAGGUGUCUUUGGUCCCACUGUACAGUUGAGAACACUGAGGCUUAGGAGAGGUAAGUCCUUUACUCAGGGUCACCCAGAGCAAGGGCCUCCAGGGCAGUUACACCCAGGUCUGGCUCAUGAUUUUUGUUUUAUCCUGAUAAACAGUCUCAGCUGGGUGCAAUGGCUCACACCUGUAAUCCCAGCACUUUGGGAGGCUGAGGCAGACCAAUCAAUUGAGGUCAGAAGUUUGUGACCAGCCUGGACAACAUGGUGAAACCCCAUCUCUACAAAAAAUACAAAAAAAUUUAGCUGGGUGUGGCAGCACACACCUGUAGUCCCAGCUACUCGGGAG
rnacentral:lncRNA from 1 species